rnacentral:rRNA from 1 species
GAUGAACGCUAGCGGCGUGCCUAAUACAUGCAAGUCGAGCGAACAGAUGCGGAGUUUGCUCCUCUGACGUUAGCGGCGGACGGGUGAGUAACACGUGGAUAACCUACCUAUAAGACUGGGAUAACUUCGGGAAACCGGAGCUAAUACCGGAUAAUAUAUUGAACCGCAUGGUUCAAUAGUGAAAGACGGUUUUGCUGUCACUUAUAGAUGGAUCCGCGCCGCAUUAGCUAGUUGGUAAGGUAACGGCUUACCAAGGCAACGAUGCGUAGCCGACCUGAGAGGGUGAUCGGCGACACUGGAACUGAGACACGGUCCAGACUCCUACGGGAGGCAGCAGUAGGGAAUCUUCCGCAAUGGGCGAAAGCCUGACGGAGCAACGCCGCGUGAGUGAUGAAGGUCUUCGGAUCGUAAAACUCUGUUAUUAGGGAAGAACAAAUGUGUAAGUAACUAUGCACGUCUUGACGGUACCUAAUCAGAAAGCCACGGCUAACUACGUG